rnacentral:rRNA from 1 species
AGAGUUUGAUCCUGGCUCAGAGCGAACGUUAGCGGCAGGCCUAACACAUGCAAGUCGCACGAGAAUUCGGCUUCGGCCGAUAGUAAAGUGGCGGACGGGUGCGUAACACGUGGAUAAUCUGCCCUCUGGCGGGGGACAACAGUCCGAAAGGAUUGCUAAUACCGCAUAAGUCAGCGAGCUCUUCGGAGCUUGUUGGGAAAGGUGGCCUCUUCAUGAAAGCUACCACCGGAGGAUGAGUCCGCGGCCCAUCAGCUAGUUGGCGGGGUAAUGGCCCACCAAGGCGAAGACGGGUAGCUGGUCUGAGAGGAUGAUCAGCCACACUGGAACUGAGACACGGUCCAGACUCCUACGGGAGGCAGCAGUGGGGAAUAUUGGGCAAUGGGCGCAAGCCUGACCCAGCCAUGCCGCGUGAGUGAUGAAGGCCUUCGGGUCGUAAAGCUCUGUGGGGAGGGAAGAAAAACCUUGUGGCUAACAUCCACGAGGCUUGACGGUACCUCCUU